UACGGUAGGGGGCAAGCGUUGUCCGGAUUCAUUGGGCGUAAAGAGCGUGUAGGCGGCCGGGUAGGUCGGUUGUGAAAACUGGAGGCUCAACCUUCAGAGGUCGACCGAAACCAUCUGGCUAGAGUCCGGGAGAGGAGAGUGGAAUUCCUGGUGUAGCGGUGAAAUGCGCAGAUAUCGGGAGGAACACCGGUGGCGAAGGCGGUUCUCUGGGCCUGUACUGACGCUGAGGAGCGAAAGCGUGGGGAGCGAACAGG
rnacentral:rRNA from 1 species